UCAUCAUCUUAUCAUGCACGACUUCUUUAUAUUAUUGUUAACUGUUGUAAUGUGGGAUCAUGGAAUCAGACAAUUGAGUUUUCAUCCAGCAGAAAGAAAGAGCGAGAGGAGGAGGAGGAGGGAAGAGGGAAAGCGAAUAGAAGGGGAAUUGCCAGUACAUGUAGCUGGUGGCUCUGGUUUUGUGAAGAGGGAUGAGGUGUUGAAGAUGUAUCUCCCACUCUAAAUGCUGAUGCGUGAAUUUCUUAGUGCUGCUGAUCCAUGCCAGAGACGGACAAGGAACCCUUGCCUUUAUUGCUCAGGCUCACUUGACACCAUCUGCAUCCUUCUGUUCCAGUUAUGUAGGGAUUCAGCAAUAUUAAUUUAAAGCUGGAUUCAAAUAAAGCAAGAUAUGGACUUCA